rnacentral:lncRNA from 1 species
GUUGAGGCACUUCUUCGAUAGUCCUUAUAUGUCUGCCUUACCGAUCUGAAGAAUUCAUGAUUUAUAUAUAUUUUAGGGCGGUGAGAGGAAGUGCAAAAUAAGGAUUGAUUUCGCAUAACGGAAUGGUGCCAUAAACACAUCUAACAAAAGUUGUUAGCAGCUACAAAAAUGCACUUUGACAAAGAGUGUUAAGUUAUUCGGAGAUUAACUAUCUCGGGAUUAGUUACGUCACACUCAAGGAGGGAUAAAAAUAAUGAUAUAAUCUCGAAAUAACUAAUCUGGGGAUGAUUUAUCCCAUGUUUUUAUCUCAACCAAACAUGAAGUAAACUUAUCCUAAAAUUAAUCUCGAA